rnacentral:lncRNA from 1 species
AACAUGACUCAGACAACAGAGAGACGAGCAAAGCAAACAGAACAGGGUUUUAUGUAAAUUCCAAUAGCAAGACAGCCUUGACAAGAUAAUCAGUAGAUGCCACCACGAAGACGCAGGACAAGGUGAAGAGUUGACUCUUUCUGGAUGUUGUAAUCAGCCAAAGUCCUUCCAUCUUCCAAUUGUUUACCAGCAAAGAUCAACCUCUGCUGAUCAGGUGGGAUCCCUUCCUUAUCCUGAAUCUUAGCCUUCACAUUGUCAAUAGUAUCUGAGCUCUCCACCUCCAAGGUGAUGGUCUUUCCAGUCAAAGUUUUCACAAAUAUUUGCAUUCCUCCCCUCAACCUAAGCACCAAGUGAAGGGUGGACUCCUUCUGAAUGUUAUAGUCUGCAAGAGUGCGACCAUCCUCAAGCUGCUUACCAGCAAAAAUCAACCUUUGCUGAUCC